rnacentral:rRNA from 1 species
UACGAGAGCCUCAAGCGUUAUCCGGAAUUAUUGGGCGUAAAGGGUGUGUAGGCGGACGUGUUAGUCCUGUGUGAAAGCCUGUCGCUUAACGACAGAUCCGCAUGGGAAACGGCACGACUAAGAGGGUGCAAGAGGUGAAUGGAACUCACGGUGUAGGGGUGAAAUUCGUAGAUAUUAGGAAGAACACCGGUGGCGAAGGCGGCCCACUGGAUCGGUACUGACGCUGAGGUGCGAAAGCGUGGGGAGCAAACAGG